rnacentral:lncRNA from 1 species
GGCGGGGCUUUCCGCAGCUCUGGGAUCACAGCUGGACGUCGGAAGUGCUAGCUUGGAGUACGCCCUUCGAGGGUAGGCGUGAGAAGUUGCUCUGUGUGCUGAGCUUUCUAAAGGAAGGCAUCCGUUGGCCUUUGUACCCGUCUUGAUUGAGAUGCAAGUAGCAGCCCCAGUGAACCAAAAAUGUCCCCAGACUUUGCCAAAUAUCCUCCCCCUCGGGGAAGAUCGCCUCGCUUGAGAACCACUGUUGGAGGAGAGCCUGGGUUUUCGGGAGGUGACCGUUUACAAAGGGGAGGACGGUAAGAAGCCGGAAGCAAUGAUGUGUUAGCUACGUGAACGACUUGUGGCCGGGCUGGCCCCUCUUCUGGAAGCCGUCAGUUUGGGUCUCGCGUCUGGGAUCGCCGUCGAGGAGUCAGAUCCAGCCCCAGAGAGGGAGCAGGGUCGAGGUGUCGUUGCAGAAGGCGCCACCGGAGGAAGCACAGGGGCAACGUGCGGUCUUCCUAGCGGAGGCACUCGCGAUCCUGCAGCCGCCGGUCCGGGAGGUGCUCGGUACCCCUCCGUGGUGCCUGUCCGGUAGCUGGUCACUCUCGGGGGAAGGUCGUGCUACAGAAGGGCAUUAUGCGAUCACACAGAGACGGCGUUGCUGCGGCUUUGACCCUAUGGUGCACCCGAAAGAACACAGAGGGUGGAGGGAGAGAUCCAGGAAGAGGUCCCGGAGCAGAACCUCCUUUCACUUAAGUUAAAAAGAUAAAAUGGAGCUGCUAGAAAUAGCAAAAGCCAGCCCAGCUAAAUCUUUAGGAAUAGCCAACCCUGACUUGCCAGAUGGUCUCAGAACUGUUCCUAUCGUUAAAGAAACAAACUGUGCAACAGCUGUACUAUAUGCCACAAAGUUCGAGGAACAGAAACCUCAGACAGCCCUGAGAGGAGGACAGCAGGAGCCAGUCUCACAAACACAAUGACAGGGCCUUCCAAAAAGCCUUCUCCCAUGAGAACACUAGAUGCCGGCUGGGCACGGUGGCUCACGCCUGUAAUCCCAGCACUUUGGGAGACCCAGGCAGGCAGAUCACAAAGUCAGGAGUUCGAGACCAGCUUGGCCAACAUUGUGACACCUAGUCUCUACAAAAAAUACAAAAAUUAGCCGGCAUGGUGGUGCACGUCUGUAAUCCCAGC